rnacentral:lncRNA from 10 species
AAGUGAAGACUGAGUCUGAAAUGGGAAAGAUAUCCCCACACAAGUCCAGCACAGGCUGUUAGAACUCUAUAUCUCUUGUUCUGGAAGCUUUGAAGUCCAAGAUGAAGGUGGCAGCAGCUUGAGUGUCUGGGUCCCCAGUUUGAAAUGUCUUGUUACUGCUGACAAGACCUGCAUGACUGACCAUUUGCUCCCUAAGAGAUGAAAACUGACAUUGCUUUGAAGUUCAAAAUGACAUUGCCAAAACAAGAAGAAAUGGAAAAUAACUGCAGCACGUUUAUGACAUUCGUUUCUUUCUCCACAUGAAACAUACAAUGAGAACACUUUAUAGAUGAAUUGUGUCUUCGAUUGAAUAGAGAAUGGUGGACUAGCUUUGGUUUUAUGGAAUUGGAUAAUUUGUCAUAGUUUCUGUCCCUGGAAAAAUGAGAACCCAAAGGAAAACAAGUGGAAAGCCUUUAAAAAAUAGUGAUAUAAUACACAGCUGAUAUUUUUGGUUCAUAGAAUACUUUAAAGUACAUCAUUUACAAAGCAAAUUACUAAAUUAUAAGAAAUGCUGUCAUCAUCAAUAAACAUUCACAGAGCUUCAGGUUUUAACACAAAGCAUUCCUCAUAUUUCAGGUGAUAUUAUUUAUGAAAAAAUUACUUGGAGAUUGCUCCAAGGUUAUCACAUUCUUUUCAAACCAUCAAUUCCCUAUUAUUAUUUACUAUUAUUAGUUAUUAUUUAUAAAUACAUAUGAAUACACAAUGAAAGCAUGCUUUAUGUAUAGCAUAUAAAUAUAUUUGAACUUUACUUUCCCCACAUACUAUCUAUCCUGCAAUAUUACACCACCAGUAAAAGAGUAUCUAAAUAUUAAUUGCUCCUAUCACAAUAGUGGAAACUAGAAGAGAUAAGUUUUCCCAAAUCUGAGUAGAAAACCAUGGUU